UUAGAGUAAAAAAGACUAAGUCCUAGAACUGAUCUGUUGCCACUUUAAUAAGUUGGGGAGAAGAGGAACUGGCAGAGGGGACUGAGAAGAUGCAGUCGGUGAAUUAGGAAGACAACCAAGAAGCUGAGGUGACCUGGAAGCCAAAUGAAGAAAGUGUAUUAAGGAUGAGAGAGUGAUCACUGUUACUGAUUGUCAAAUAAGUCUGUCUAUCCCCUUUAGGGCCCUGAGCUACCUUAUAAGAAGUAAGGCUACCUUGAAGCUACUAUGGGACCAUGUGGGGAGAUCAUACAGAGUUAGAGAUACAUGCCCACGGAGCUUCAGCUGCUGAAAUCUCCCCAGCUCUGGCAUCAGAUGAUGCUUCACAGUAGCCAAACUGAUGCCUACAUCACUGAAAGGUGGAUGCCACGGUGCAAGCUUUUGGCAGAUUGAUACAUGCGUGCCAUGUGAUGACUCAGCUCUCCUGCUACACUGCUCUGUCCCAACUACCAGGAAACCUUUGCUUCUGUAGUGCACAGAGAUGUCUGGCCUUUACACAGUGCUAACAUGUCAUCAUUAUUUUCUGGUCCUGUCUCUGUUCUUAGCACAUCAGCCCAUUACAAUGGAAGAUGUUCUCCUUGAUGCCGAUGUGAUCCUAAGUACAUAGAAGAAUCCAGGCACUGAUGGUGAAUGUCAGCACUCAGUGAUCAGGGGUCACCCAAAGAAAGCAGACUUUUAAAAAUAUACAUUUUUUUAGAUUUUAACAUGAAAAUGAAAAUACAAAAUUUAAGAACUCUUGCAGGGAAUUAUCAACUGUACAGAAAGUACUAGAAUUUGGCUGGACUAGAAGGGAGAGAGAUACACUGCAGGUAGUUCUCAGCAAAAAGGUUAGCUGAAGUAGACUGGAGUUAUGGAUGACCCUGAAUGCCAGCACCUAGAGUCUGAGCUAUUGACUUUUAGUCACUAUUGGUUCUAGAGUAGGGGCGUGACAGCAUGAAAGCUCUAGUUCAAGAUUCCUCUCAAAGUUGUAUGAAUUAGACAAAGUUGAGGCUGGAGUCAGGAAGACUGGCUAUCAGUCCCUUGUACUAUACAAAUCCCUGAGCUUAAAAAAAUCAGUGUUCGCCAACUGUGAUAGUCUACUGGGCUCUUUGAAAACUCGAGUAUAGGUUGUGAGUUGGAUUUCAUUUCAGCCCUCAGGGAUUUACGGUGUUCUUCCUCCUACUCCUGCUUGUCAUUGAUAAAUGAUACAACCUUGGUUAAACCAUUCAUGUCCCAGCACCUCUGAGCCUUCAUCUAUCAAACAAGGGAUAAUGAUAUAUAUAUUCUACCCAUGUUAUAAAUAUUAAAAAUUAUAUAUAUAUAUAAUCUUUAAGAAGCUUCAAGUCUUCACAGAAUAGAAUGAGUUUAUACUCUUUAGAGUAUACUUUACUGUUAGAUUAUACUUAUAAGAGCAUUUAAACAGUUGCAAAAAAGAUGUUUCUUUUUGAAUGCACGACUGUAUCGGAAUAGCAUCAAUAGAAAUUUUGAAAAGAAAUAAAAGCUGUCAGGAUUCCAUAGUUACCAAAUAUCAACUUUUGAUUUUCCAUAUUUCUUGCUAGUUUACAAUACAUAGUGUAGAUGUAUUGUUGUAUUUUGUUUUUCACAUAAACAUCAGCAUUUUUACAUUGUUGUAUACUGUUUAUAAUUAUAAUUUUGUAAUAGUCCCUCAAAUUGAUAUACUACAAUUUACUUAACUAAUCCCUGUAUUGUCUGAAGCACAUUUAUAUGUGGAACAUCUUCCUUCCUGCCUGCCUUCCCUCCUUCUAGCAUGGAAAAGGAAAAGAAGACAGUUUAUAAAGCACUAGGAAUGGAAUUACUGAGGCAAAGAGAACGAAUAUUUUUUUCUUUUAAAAUAAUUUAUUGAGCUCUCUCUUGCAAAAUUGGGAGAUAUGGGUUUUAGAAAAGGCAAACUUUGGAGUCUGAUUGAAAACACUGCACAGGCAGAACCAAUCAGUAGAUCCCUUCACUGAAAUUCUUCAUUUCUGACACUUGGUUUGCUCUCGUGGCAGGGAAGAAAGCAGGGGGUGCUUUCCAAGUCUGCUCUGAAGAGUGUUUUGAGGAGUAUUAUUUGGAAAUCAGGGUUUGUUGACUAAGUUAAACAAACAGGUCAUUGAACCAGCCCUGUCAUAGGUACAAUUUAGAGUUAAGUACAGCCUUAGCCCCUCAGUGAUGUCAGAUGGACAUCAAUUUGAGGAAAUCUUCAUCAAUCCCACUCAAAGGAGGUUAGGCUAGUAUAUUAAUUUGCAGGUAGUUCUCCAAUUUAGAAAUGAGCCAAGGUUUGUCUGCCUGCUUGCAUUAAUCAUUUGGGGACAGCUGCUGGAAGCACACUCCUGGAACUGGGGACGCCAAUCUUUUCGGAGAGCAAGUAAACAAGGUUAUCAGUGCCAAGAACAAGCUUCAGCAGGAACAAUAUUAAUCCCGCUCCCCUAAACUUUUUUUUGUUUGUUUCUUGUAAACAGUCACAUUCUUGAAGAUUAGGAGCUAUGAUCUAGGACUUGCGAAGUCUGGAGCUUCACUAGUCCAAAGUCCAUGAACUCUGUCAUACAGACCACCGAACUGCCAUCAGAGAAUUCACAUGGACUUAUGAUGCAGCAAAUUCUCAAUUGUGUGCCAUGGUUCCAGUGCUUAUUGACCUGUUUUGUAAACAGUAUAAAUACUAACUUUGUCUGUUACAUGCCAAGCCAGGGUUAGGUAAGACGGAAAUAGUAAUGACAGUCACUGAAAGCUAGAUUUAGUCAGGUAGAUGAUAAAAGGCUCUCAGUUUUGUUAUUUGCUUUUGAUGGGCAGAUGGAAGUGUCUGCCUCAAGGAAGAAGCAGAGAGGCACGUCAGCACUCUAAAUCCAUUGGUUCUCAAAGUCGACUGACUUCAGAAUUCCCCAGAUACAAAAGUCUUGUAGACCCUACCCACAUCAACUGAAUUCGAAAUUUGUGUGUACACGGGGGUGGGGGAUCUUCUGGAAUUUUGAAUCCUGAAUCAGAACUGAGGAUCACUAUCUCUCAUGCUAUAGCAAAAA